rnacentral:rRNA from 1 species
UCACUGACCGUGAUAAUGUAGCGUAAUCAAUAGCCAAUUAAUUGUUGGCCGGUAUGAAUGGCAUCACGAAGGCCCCACUGUCUUAAGAGGACUCUCCAUGAAAUUGAAUUCGUAGUGAAGAUGCUACGUCCAUAUUGUAAGACGAAAAGACCCCAUUGAGCUUUACUAAAGACUUGUAUAGCUCGAAAUAACUUAAAUAAAAAGUUUAGAUAAUGUGGGAUCCGUUUUUGGUUAAUGAAACACCACUCUUUUAUUUUAAGAGAGCUAACCUUGUAGGGAGAAUGCAAGUUGGAUAGUUUGGUUGGGGCGACCACCUUUUAAAAGGUAACGAAGGUGAGCUUAAGGUCCGUAGUUAAUAGCUAGUGGCCUGACUGCAAGGGGGACAUCCCGAGCAGACACUGGUAAUCUCUCAGUGGGUUAUAGUGACCCGUCAUCUUAGAAUGGAAUAGUUGACGAUCAACGAAUAAAAGCUACCAUGGGGA